CAGGACGAACGCUGGCGGCGUGCCUAAUACAUGCAAGUCGAGCGAAUGACAAGGAGCUUGCUCCUUGAUUAGCGGCGGACGGGUGAGUAACACGUGGGUAACCUACCCUAUAGACUGGGAUAACUUCGGGAAACCGGAGCUAAUACCGGAUAAUAUUUUUUGAACACAUGUUCGAAAGUUGAAAGAUGGUUUCGGCUAUCACUAUAGGAUGGACCCGCGGCGCAUUAGCUAGUUGGUGGGGUAAUGGCUCACCAAGGCAACGAUGCGUAGCCGACCUGAGAGGGUGAUCGGCCACACUGGGACUGAGACACGGCCCAGACUCCUACGGGAGGCAGCAGUAGGGAAUCUUCCACAAUGGACGAAAGUCUGAUGGAGCAACGCCGCGUGAGUGAAGAAGGAUUUCGGUUCGUAAAACUCUGUUGCAAGGGAAGAACAAGUAGCGUAGUAACUGGCGCUACCUUGACGGUACCUUGUUAGAAAGCCACGGCUAACUACGUGCCAGCAGCGGC
rnacentral:rRNA from 1 species